UGGGGAAUUUUGCGCAAUGGGGGGAAACCCUGACGCAGCAACGCCGCGUGCGGGAUGAAGGCCUUCGGGUCGUAAACCGCUUUCAGCAGGGACCAAGAUGAGUGUACCUGCAGAAGAAGCCCCGGCUAACUACGUGCCAGCAGCCGCGGUAAUACGUAGGGGGCAAGCGUUAUCCGGAUUUAUUGGGCGUAAAGCGCGCGUAGGCGGCUUGUUAAGUCGGAUGUGAAAACCGGGGGCUCAACCCGCGGACUGCAUCUGAAACUGGCAGGCUUGAGUCUGGUAGAGGAGUGUGGAAUUCCUAGUGUAGCGGUGAAAUGCGCAGAUAUUAGGAGGAACACCAGUGGCGAAGGCGGCACUCUGGGCCACGACUGACGCUGAGGUGCGAAAGCUAGGGGAGGCAAACAGGAUUAGAUACCCUGGUAGUCCUAGCCGUAAACGAUGGGCACUAGGUGUGGGGGAGUCAUCGACAUCUUCCGUGCCGAAGCUAACGCA
rnacentral:rRNA from 1 species